rnacentral:lncRNA from 1 species
CCAACCCAGCUAGCGUCCUAUCACGCUCAAGUAGACUGGUGGAGAUGUGCUCAGCAAAGGACUAGUUGAGACGUAGUCGACAAUGGACUAGCCGAGAUGUACUCAGGCGGAGUGGCCAAGAUGUGCUCAGCAAAGGGACGCAUGUAGGUGAGAAGUUUCACCUACAAGCGGGAAGUUCACACUGUGAUGACUACUGAUGUGCCCUACCCUAAGGUCAUAUUGACCAACUAAUCAAUCCUCGGGAGAGGGUAGCAAUCUUUCAUGCAUGCCCAAUUAAGAUUAGUGUUGUCAAUGCAUAUCCUCCAACUUCCAAUAUAUUUUUUGACAAGGACUAUGUUGGAUAGCCACUAAGGGUAUUUGGCCUUGGCUAUAUACCCUGCUUCCAUUAGUCAGUCCAUCUCAUCAUUGAUCACCUUCUGCCAUUCGAGGGUGAACUUCUGAGGCCUCUACUUUAUUGGUCACACCUCGGGAAGGAUGUUCAAGUGGUGUUGCAUGACCUUGUGAUCAAUUCUCGACAUGACUUUGGGUGACCAGGCGAAGACGUCGACAUUCUUUAUCGAGAAACUGAUGAGUUGGACCUGGUCCUUCUCUGGCAGCAUGGAGCCAAUAUUCACAGUCUAAUCGAUCAUGCCUCCUCUUUGAUGGUUUUGUGGGCUGACCUCGGGGCUUUUCCGCACGUUGUCUUUUGUGGUCCUCGUGCUUCCCAGCCUCCAAUGCCUUGGCCACCAUAUACUGAUUGGCUCGCUAGAGCAUUUCUAGGAUAGUCACCGAUGGCCUCUCGAUCAACGACCAAAAGAACCCGGAUAGACGUAGUCCCAUCAAGAAUGCCUACAUAAUCAGAGAAGGAUGAGUAUUGGGGACUGCUUUGAUUUUGGUGAUGAACUGAGCGACGAAGUGGGAAAGGGGCUCAUCGUCCUUCUAGCUCAAGCCAAGAAGCAUGACCACAGAUGGCUUGGGCCAAGCAUUUGCCAAUAAGUUGAGCUCAAACUCUCUUACGAGCUGAUCAAAGGAUGAGAUCAAAGAAGGUCUCAACCUAUUUGUACCACAUCCGAGUCGGAACUUGGAGGGUGGUGAGAAAGGCCCGACAUAUUAAAGCAUCGGGUGUGCUAUACAGAGCCAUUUGGGCCUAGAAGGCGGUGACAUGCUCCACUGGGUUGGAGUAGUCAUCGUAGGCCUCCAAUGUCGAGAAGCAAAAAUUGAGGGGAAUCGACUUGUCUUGGAUCUCUAAGACAAAAGGAGAUCCCCCGAAGUUGUCUUUCCCAUGUUCUUCCUUCGACUUGUGAAACUCUCUCUGGACCUCAUCUAGGCAUCGAUUAACUAGGUGCAAUUGAGCCCUGAAAGAGUUAGUUGAGUUAGAUGACAGAGUGUCUGACUUUAGACAACUCAUGGCGGCUUAUGGGGCCUUUGGGGUACCGUACUCCGGUGUCAGUCUUCGGCCUCUUGACUAUUCUUCAUUUGACGGGCAGACAUCCACCACUCAGGGUUGUCGGUCGACCGUGGGAGGGUCCUUAGGCACAGGGGAGAGAGUUGGUGGGGUCACAAGCAAGGGCAAUUGCGAUGGCACUGUUGGGUGAGAAAGCUGGGGGAUAAGGGGAAUGAUAUUUGCAUCAUCCCAAUCAAAGCUUGAACCUGAUGGGUGAGGCUAAGGAAUACCUCGACGGAGAUGACGGAGGGUCUCGUGCUCCCCUUGGGGGAAAGAGCUUGGGGUCAUUAAACAACCUCUAGUAGUGGCUCAGGGUCUGGGACGUAGCAUUUCCAUCUGCAUGCGGAGGGAGAGGGAGUUGUCCCCCGAGGUCGAAAGUGGAAGGGGUUGCAUGCGUCCCUUCUCCAGGACGCUCGCCGAGGUUGGUCGACGGUUGGCGUUCUUGCAAUAUGGACCCUCCUUUUAGCAUCAAAAAUGUUUUGUACCUUUAUAUCGUGAUCGAGGUAUCAGCAUGACUUGGCCCGUCUCGAGUGCACAAGGUCACCAGCACAGCUUGAGUUGGAGUGUAUUAACCCGAGGUUUGGUUGAUGGGGCGUAGGCCUCGUUCUCCCAAGUGGAGGUUGAAGAUCACUCAUUUAGUUGUCUGUCGGAUGCCUGCACACAGGUCAAAAUCAGAAGGGGGAUUCCCAACUUGACCCUCUGAUGUUUAAGUAAGCAAGAGUUGAAGAUGGGAGAGUUGUAGUAUAUGUGUGUAUGAGGUUCGACUCUAGCACUAUUCCUGAGAGUGGCUUUUAUACCUAUUGUCAUGUGUUGACGUACGUAAAUGUUAAUGAUUGUUGGCAUCUUCGUACAUAGGUGUUUAAAGGCACCGUCGCCAUGGGUGGUCAGCUCGUAUGUUGAGACACGGGCACAAGUCUGAUUUGUUCGGCUCUACUUCAAUCGACGUUACUUUAUGCCUCUAAAGUAGCUCAGGACAGGGAUACGUUGCUCCGUACAACCUCGAGCAGUGUUAGUGGAGUGUGCUUGUGACAUAAACGGUAGGUGAUUGCAUCGAGGUGUUGAGUUGACUCGAUGUACCACAUUAGUCUUGAAAUAGCGUGUUAAGUCCGUCGUGAUAGUCGAGUGUCCGCAGAGUGGAUAUCAUAUAUAAUAAUAUCCCACCUUGGAUGUUUUAGUUGGAUCAACAGUCUGGUCAGCAAGUAGCAGGAUGUAUCCACCCCUUCUUUUGGCUGUUUUUCUCAAAGACCGAGGUAAAAGAGUAGUAUGAGUAGCUCCAACAUCAAGUCCCAACCAGGGAAGGGAAUGGAAUCGCGGGCGAGCCAACUUGCACUGGAAAACACCAGCCAUGCCAAAACAACUCACCGCCACGGCAGCUGCUGACAUGCGUACAUCGCUACUUCCAUGUGCUUCCUGCACAACGAAGGGCAUCAUACUUUUAACAGGUUGAACAUUGAAGGACCAGACGGAAUUGUCUGCCAGUGUGGCCCCCAGGACACGGUUGCAGAUUACCCGUGUGUUUGAUAUGGGACAGCCUCGCCAUUGCCCAGUCCAUGGACGUGGCAUGCUGCGGGCCGUUGACCACGCGGCCCCCUGCGAGACAAAAGUAGAACAGCCAAUGGACGUCAAAGCAAAUGCAUAGAAUAGACAGCUCGAGCGGCUCGCACCUUCCUGAAACCAUCCUUGUCUUCCUUCCUACAACAAACAAAAGAGGGCAUCAUAUGACACAUCUUUCCAACUCGUUCCGCAAACAAUUCCGCUUGUCGAUUACCACGCAGCUUCCUCGCCUGAUUCACUUUGGAUUUCCGCGUCAUUCUCGCCCAAUUCCCUGCUUAUAAAUCGCCCACCCUAGUGGAACGGGUGGUCACAUCUCCCUGCACAAGCCACAAGCCACAACCCCCACCGUGAGAUCUUGGGGGAGCACCAAGGAAGAGGAGGAAGUCCUUCGAAGUGGAGCAUCGAAGAAGAGGAGAAGAUACUUGCGUGUUCUUUGUGGUGUCGACAUGGGGUUCCCGGCGGGCUACUUGGAGCUGCUUCUGCUGCCAAGAAUCCUCCUCCACAUAGCCCUAAUCCUUGGCUCCGUGCGGCGGCUCGUUUUCUGGGUCUUCCACGCGGUCGGCCUCGGUGACCUCGUCGACUCCGACGCCCCCUGGCCCGAGAACAGCGGCCACAGCCGGCUCGACCAUCACCACGACUACCACCAGCAACCGUCGCAAUUCCGGUCGGUGUCGGCGAUGCUGAUCCAGGAGGCGCUCCCGGUGGUGCGGUACGAGGAGCUGGUGGCGGCGGGACAGCACGUCGGCGGCAGUUGCGCGGUCUGCCUGUGCGAGUUCGAGGACGCGGAGGAGGUCCGGCGGCUGACCAAUUGCAGGCACGUCUUCCACCGCGGCUGCCUUGACCGGUGGCUGGAGUACGACCAGCGGACUUGCCCGCUGUGCCGCACGCAGCUCGUUGGGGAGGAGACGCAGGACGCCCUCGACGAUCAAAUGUGGGCCGCCGCUGGUGUCCCGGAUUCGUACUACGACGACU